CCUACGGGAGGCAGCAGUGGGGAAUAUUGCACAAUGGGGGAAACCCUGAUGCAGCGACGCCGCGUGAGGGAUGAAGUAUUUCGGUAUGUAAAGCUCUAUCAGCAGGGAAGAUAAUGACGGUACCUGACUAAGAAGCUCCGGCUAAAUACGUGCCAGCAGCCGCGGUAAUACGUAUGGAGCAAGCGUUAUCCGGAUUUACUGGGUGUAAAGGGCGCGCAGACGGCAGGGCAAGUCUGAUGUGAAAGUCCGGGGCUCAACCCCAGGACUGCAUUGGAAACUGUCCGGCUAGAGUGCAGGAGAGGUAAGUGGAAUUCCUAGUGUAGCGGUGAAAUGCGUAGAGAUUAGGAGGAACACCAGUGGCGAAGGCGGCUUACUAGACUGUAACUGACGUUGAGGCUCGAAAGCGUGGGGAGCAAACAGGAUUAGAUACCCCUGUAGUC
rnacentral:rRNA from 1 species